rnacentral:RNase_P_RNA from 1 species
GCUGUCCGUGCGGUAACCGUUUCAGGCAAAUAUCCGUUUGCCUGAAGAGGAAAGUCCGGACACCUGCAGGCAGGAUGCCUUGAGAAACCAAGGGACGUCCCGAUGUAUUGAUCGGGAUGGACGGAAAGUGCCACAGAAAAUAUACCGCCCCGAGCGCGUAAGCGUCUCCGGGGUAAGGGUGAAAUGGCGAGGUAAGAGCUCACCGCCGUGUACGGUAACGUAGCGGGCAUGGAAAACCCCAUCCGGUGCAAGACCAUAUAGGAAACAUUGGGAGUUCACUCCCGGGCAUGCCUGUUGUCUAUAUGUUUCGGGUAGGUCGCAAAGAUGAAUGGUUACCCUCCUUUAAAGAGGAGACAGAAUCCGGCUUAUGCUGCGGACAGCAUCU